GUCCAGACUCCUACGGGAGGCAGCAGUGGGGAAUAUUGCACAAUGGGGGAAACCCUGAUGCAGCGACGCCGCGUGAGUGAAGAAGUAUUUCGGUAUGUAAAGCUCUAUCAGCAGGGAAGAAAAUGACGGUACCUGACUAAGAAGCCCCGGCUAACUACGUGCCAGCAGCCGCGGUAAUACGUAGGGGGCAAGCGUUAUCCGGAUUUACUGGGUGUAAAGGGAGCGUAGACGGCAUGGCAAGUCAGAUGUGAAAGCCCGGGGCUCAACCCCGGGACUGCAUUUGAAACUGUCAGGCUGGAGUGCAGGAGAGGUAAGUGGAAUUCCUAGUGUAGCGGUGAAAUGCGUAGAUAUUAGGAGGAACACCAGUGGCGAAGGCGGCUUACUGGACUGUAACUGACGUUGAGGCUCGAAAGCGUGGGGAGCAAACAGGAUUAGAUACCCGAGUACA
rnacentral:rRNA from 1 species